UACGGGGGGGGCAAGCGUUGUUCGGAAUUACUGGGCGUAAAGGGCUCGUAGGUGGCCAACUAAGUCAGACGUGAAAUCCCUCGGCUUAACCGGGGAACUGCGUCUGAUACUGGAUGGCUUGAGAUUGGGAGGGGGAUGCGGAAUUCCAGGUGUAGCGGUGAAAUGCGUAGAUAUCUGGAGGAACACCGGUGGCGAAGGCGGCAUCCUGGACCAACACUGACACUGAGGAGCGAAAGCCAGGGGAGCAAACGGG
rnacentral:rRNA from 1 species